UGCAACCUCAUGAGAUACCCUGAGCCAGAACCACCAGCUAAGCCACUUCUCAAGUCCUGACUCACAGUGCUGCAAGAUAAUAAACGUUUUGGAGUCAUUCGUAACACAGCAAGUGAUAAUGAAGAUACGUGGGUUGAGUGGGGCUUUGCCUAAUAUGCCCUAGUGCCUCCUGAAAGUGAAUGAGGCCAGCUGGGAUGACUAGGCACUGCUCAGAGAGCUGGGGGUUUCUGGCUGUUCCUUUGUUUGCCCGUGGUGGCCAGCAUGUUUGCAGUUGGGAGGAUUCUUCACCAGUCUAACACAUGCCUCAGUUUUCUAGGCUGGCACUGCACAGAGAUGGAACCUGAUGAAACGGCCCCAUUUGAGCGCCUGCUGUAUCGCGUUGGCUCUGCUUCCUGCAGCUGUGCUCCAAGAUGAGCCUUUCAGACAUCGCUCCCUAAUAGCUCCAUCUCCCCCAGUCCAGGAGGAUGCGCAUUCCUCUCCUCAUUCACAUGCACCACUUCAAGCCAUCUGCACGCUCUACAGGGGACUUGCCGCCUAACAUCCUAAUGUGCAACCCCAUCCAAAUCCUCUGCUGGAAUCUCACUAUUUGCACCACUUACGCUCCUGGAGCGUGAAACAGAAGGGCCAGUCCUCUUGUCUC
rnacentral:lncRNA from 1 species